rnacentral:rRNA from 1 species
CCUACGGGUGGCAGCAGUGGGGAAUAUUGGACAAUGGGCGAAAGCCUGAUCCAGCCAUGCCGCGUGUGUGAAGAAGGCCUUCGGGUUGUAAAGCACUUUCAGUGGGGAAGAAAGCCUUGGGGCUAAUACCCUCGAGGAAGGACAUCACCCACAGAAGAAGCACCGGCUAACUCCGUGCCAGCAGCCGCGGUAAUACGGAGGGUGCGAGCGUUAAUCGGAAUUACUGGGCGUAAAGCGCGCGUAGGCGGUCUGAUAAGCCGGUUGUGAAAGCCCCGGGCUCAACCUGGGAACGGCAUCCGGAACUGACAGGCUAGAGUGCAGUAGAGGAAGGUGGAAUUCCCGGUGUAGCGGUGAAAUGCGUAGAGAUAGGGAGGAAUACCAGUGGCGAAGGCGACCUCCUGGACUAACACUGACGCUGAGGUGCGAAAGCGUGGGUAGCAAACAGGAUUAGAUACCCUAGUAGUC